ensembl:lncRNA
CCCCCCGCACGGUGCCGCUCGGCCCCCACGGCGUCCGCCUCUGCGCGACCCCCCGGCAGCCGCAGGCAUGGAGCCCCCCGGGGAUGCAGGUGAGAGGGGGGGCGGAAAAACCAACGGAAAAGCCGCGGGAUGGGGGCCCCGCUGUAUGCAGGUCCCUACAGAGCGCUAUGGGGUCCCGUCGUGGCCCCGUUGCAUGAAUGUCCCCAUAGAGCACAACGGGGUCCCAUCCCAUCGUGGCCCUAUUGUAUUUUGGGGUCUCAUUGUGUCCCCAUUGCAUGAAGCUCCCUAUGGGGUCCUGUUCAUCGUGGCCCUAUUGCACUUUGGGGUCCCAUCGUGGCCCCGUUGCAUGAAUGUCUCCAUAGUGCACAAUGGGGUCCCAUUCAGCGUGGCCCUAUUGUAUUUUGGGGUCCCAUGUUGUUCCCAUUGCAUGAACGUCCCCAUAGUGCACAAUGGGGUCCCAUCCCAUCGUGGCCCCAUUGCACUUUGGGGUCCCAUUGCGUCCCCAUUGCAUGAAGCUCCCUGUAGUUCACAAUGGGGUCCCAUCGUGGCCCCAUUGCACUUUGGGGUCCCAUCGUGCCCCCAUUGCAUGAAGCACCCUAUAGCACAAUGGGGUCCCAUCCCAUCGUGGCCCCAUUGCACUUUGGGGUCCUGCCAUGUCCCCAUUGCACGAACGUCCCUAUAGUUCACAAUGGGUUCCCAUAUAUCAUGGCCCUAUUGCACUAUGGGGUUCCAUUAUGUCCCCAUGUCCCCGUUGCGCUUUGGGGUCCCACGUGUCCCUGUUUUAUGAGGUCCCCAUAGUGCACAAUUGGGUCCCAUCCUAUUAUGGCCCCAUUGCACUUUGGGGUCCCAUCGUGCCCCCAUUGCAUGAAGCUCCCUAUAGCACAAUGGGGUCCCAUCCCAUCGUGGCCCCGUUGCACUUUGGGGUCCCAUAGCAUCCCCAUUACAUAGUGGGGUCUCAUCAUUGCACAAAGGUCCCUAUAGUGCACUAUAGGGUCCCAUCCCCUCAUGCCCCCGUUGCUCUAUGGGGUCUCACUGUGACCCCGUGCCCCCAUUGUGCUAUGGGGUCUCUCUGUGUCCCUAUUGCAUAGACAUCCCUGUAGUGCAUUAUGGGGUCCCAUUGUGAACCCAUUACAUGUCUGGUCCUAUUGUGUCCUCAUUGCAUGAAGGUCCCUAUGGGGCACUAUGGGAUCCCAUCAUAUCCCCAUGACCCCACUAUGGGGUUCCCUCGUGUCCCCGUUGUGUGAAGGUCCCUAUAGUGCACUGCGGGGUCCCGUUGUGUCCCUGCUGCAAUAUGGGGUCCUAUUGCAAACCCAUUCAUUAUACGUUACGGUCCCAUUGUGUCCCUAUUGUACUGUAGGGUUUUCUCAUGUCCCUGUUGCAUAGAGAUCCCUAUAGUGCACUGUGGGGUUCCUGUUGCACUGUGGGGUCCCAUUCAUUAUAUGCUGGGGUCCCAUUGUGUCCCCAUUGCACUAUGGGGUCCCGUUGUGUUCCCAUGUCCCUACUGCAUGACGAUGUCCCUAUUGGAACCCUACUGCACUAUGGGGUCCCAUUGUGUCCCCAUUGCACUAUGGGGUCCCUCAUGUCCCCGCUAUGUGCAUGAGGGGUCCCACCCUAUAGGGUCCUCCCACAUCCCCAUUGCACUAUGGGGUCCCUGUGUCCCCAUAGCACAGGGGUUCCCAUGU